CCUACGGGUUGCACCAGUGGGGAAUAUUGCACAAUGGGCGCAAGCCUGAUGCAGCCAUGCCGCGUGUAUGAAAAAGGCCUUCGGGUUGUAAAGUACUUUCAGCGAGGAGGAAGGCAUUAAGGUUAAUAACCUUGGUGAUUGACGUUACUCGCAGAAGAAGCACCGGCUAACUCCGUGCCAGCAGCCGCGGUAAUACGGAGGGUGCAAGCGUUAAUCGGAAUUACUGGGCGUAAAGCGCACGCAGGCGGUCUGUCAUGUCGGAUGUGAAAUCCCCGGGCUCAACCUGGGAACUGCAUUCGAAACUGGCGGGCUAGAGUCUUGUAGAGGGGGGUAGAAUUCCAGGUGUAGCGGUGAAAUGCGUAGAGAUGUGGAGGAAUACCGGUGGCGAAGGCGGCCCCCUGGACAAAGACUGACGCUCAGGUGCGAAAGCGUGGGGUGCAAACAGGAUUAGAUACCCCGGUAGUC
rnacentral:rRNA from 1 species